UUUAAUAGUUCUAAAACCCUAAAUCUGCCACCGUCGCUUCUCUUCGUCUUCGUCCCCUUCUUUCUCCUUGAAUCCUCUUCAAUCUAUCUUCAAGGCAAGUUUAUGUUUUUCGUUUAGGUGAAAGAUUAGGGUUAGGAGCAACGAGAGGAUGGGAUGCGACAUAGAAGGAUGGGAAUCCAGGUCUAGAUUCGACUUGCCAGGAUUGGGUCAACUGGAAGAAGCUGUAAUGGUGGAUGCAUCAUAUUUUCAUUUGAUUCGGUAAAGGUUCCUGUUAUAGUGGCAUGCUGUAAGUUGGAUUUAAGGGAUGAACAACAAUCAGUUAGUUUGGAGUUGGUGAUGUCUCCUAUAAUGCAACAGUUUAGGGAAAUUGAAACCUGUAUUGAAUGAUCAGCAUACAAACAUAUUCAGGAUGGAUGAUAGUUUAUAUGUGACUUUGGGAACUACAUUAGGCCCGAAAUCUUAUGCUCAAAUCUUAUGUUCGCCAUGGGAAGCCAUGGAAAACAAGAGCUUGAACGUAUGUGCGUUGAUCUUCAUUUUAAUAUAUAGGCCACAAGGAACCUAAUAAAUUACUUAAAGCAGCAGACAAGACUAUGAAGACACUGGCUAUCGAAUUUGCAGAGUACCAGGUUGUGGAAGAGGGCUAAAAGAUCCAUCAUAUCGGGUGAUUCAAUGUCAUUUUGUUGUUUCUGGAAGUCUUGGAGAUGUGGUAGCAAAGGGCUCUAGAGUUGAAUCAUC
rnacentral:lncRNA from 1 species